CAGUCGCCGCGGUAAUACGGAGGGGGCUAGCGUUGUUCGGAAUUACUGGGCGUAAAGCGCACGUAGGCGGCUUGGUAAGUUAGAGGUGAAAGCCCGGAGCUCAACUCCGGAAUUGCCUUUAAGACUGCCGAGCUAGCAGGUGAGAGAGGUAAGUGGAAUUCCGAGUGUAGAGGUGAAAUUCGUAGAUAUUCGGAAGAACACCAGUGGCGAAGGCGGCUUACUGGCUCAUACUGGACGCUGAGGUGCGAAAGCGUGGGGAGCAAACAGGAUUAGAUACCCGGGUAGUCCCUGUCUCUUAUAC
rnacentral:rRNA from 1 species